AAAAUUGUUGUAAUAAAAAAAUGCAUUUAGCAUAGCACACCAAUUACAUUUGUAUGCAUAUCUGUCUUAUAUCGAAUCAACUGGCUGUAUGAGUACUGAUUUUCUUGUUCUUAGGCAAACUAAAAGUCUAAAAUAGUAUUUAACCUGCAGUUUAUUACU